UGUAUUACUUAAUUAAAUACAUUUAUAAACAUAAGAAAUAAUUUUAUGAUUAUCAUAAUAUUCUCAGGCCUGUUGGUCUAAGGGAUGUGUGGGCUGUUAAUUAUAUUUAUUCGAAGAGGGUGUUUAUUGUUUUGCACAUGUCGGUCCGUCCGUCGUCCGUAUGUCCGUCCACCAGAUGGUUUUUGGAUGAUAACUCAAGAACGCUUAGGCCUAGGAUCAUGACACUUUAAAGGUACAUUGAUCAUGACUCGCAGAUGACCCUGUUGAUUUUGAGGUCACUAGGUCAAAGGUCAAGGUCACGGUGACCCGAAAUAGUAAAAUGUUUUCGGGAUGAUAACUCAAGAACGCUUAUGCCUAUGACCAUGAAACUUCAUAGGUACAUUGAUCAUGACUCGCAGAUGACCCCUAUUGAUUUCCAGGUCACUAGGUUAAAGGUCAAGGUCACGGUGACUGGAAAAAGUAAAAUUGUUUCCGGAUGAUAACUCAAGAACGUUUUAUGCCUAGGAUCAUGAAACUUCAUAGGUGCAUUGAUCAUGAUUCGCAGAUGACCCCUAUUUAUUCUCAGGUGAAAGGUCAAGGUCACUGUGACCCGAAAUAGUAAAAUGUUUUCUGGAUAAUAACUCAAGAACGCUUAUUCCUAGGAUCAUGAAACUUCAUAGGUACAUGGAUCAUGACUCGCAGAUUACCCCUAUUGAUUUUCAGGUCACUAGGUCAAAGGUCACGGUGACUCAACUUAGAAAAAUGGUUUCCGGAUUAUAACUCAAGAACGCUUACGCCUAGGAUCAUGAAACUUCAUAGGUACAUUAAUCAUGACUCACAGAUGGACCCCUAUUGAUUUUCAGGUCACUAGGUCAAAGGUCAAGGUCACAGUGCCAAAAACGUAUUCACUCAAUGGCUACCACUACAACUGACAGCCCAUAUGGGGGGCAUGCAUGUUUUACAAACAGCCCUUGUUUGAGAUGAUUCUUUACAAUGAAAGAUGCUACUAUUGUAUUUGUUAUAAAUGUGUGAACGGCUCUAAGAAGGAACCAGAGAUUAUUAACCCUUUACCAAACACCAACAGGAUUUUACGGGUUUAUAGCUGACGACUUUAUAAAUAAUUAUGAUAAAAUGAGAAAUUGCUCAAGAUGAGCAAUUUCUCCUUUUAUCACAAUUAUUUCUACCCUACCUGAUUAUUUCCUUAAUAUUCCAUUACAAUUUAAUUGUCAUCUGCAACCUUUUUCAAAUUGGGAAAGUCCAAAAUGUGUCGUUUGGUAACGGGUUAAGGCAUUUUGAUUCAUAUGGGUCUUGUGAAUCUGUUUCAAAUCAAAUGCGUAUAUUUGAUCUUCAGCAUCUAAAAAUAUGUGAAAUAGAAAGAACGACAAUAUCUUUUGGAGAGGUAAAUGUACCUACGUUAUAAUGCAAUGGGACUGUGCUUCAAAGGAACAAUUCCCGGGCUUUUUAGUCUGUUUAGUUAACAUGGUAGUAACUUUUUCCAUUUAUAAAAAUGCUCACCCUUCCAACUUUAAGCGCCCAGUGGGACGAGGGAUAGACAGAGAAGGUCACAUGCUUGAGUAUUUUUCAACCCAUGCGCAUUUUUUUUUUCGCUUAAAAAACAGUGGAGCGAUACAGGGCCAUCCUGGCCCUCUUGUUGUUGUUAUGUGUCGUUUUAUUGUUUAUAUUUAUUUAUUUACGCAUAUUAAAAUUGUGUUAUAGACAGA